GCUGUUUUCCGCUCGCGAGCCCUGGUCCUCCUUUCAACUAUUUGUGCCCUCACCCUUACGAGGUUUUUCGUGCUGGUUGGGGCCUCUGUAGCUGACUCCAAAAUCGGCCUUCAGAGUUCGCUGGAAAAAUUUUCACACCUUCUGCGUGGGCCUGAAGAGCCCUUGGCUGGUGUAAAUGAUGACUCCACUUUUUUCCCCAUCAGAUCGACAAUGGUUAUCGCAGUCGGGGAGUACAAAAUGGAUGUGGGAGUACGGAGUCACCUCUGGGCCUGGCAGAGAGGCCCAUUUAAACAUCUACAGCCUUGGGUCUCCUGAAUUACAAGGUUUGCUGAUGGCAUAAACCAGCCUUUGAAUGGACCAGGAUGAGUUCUGUGAAUGGGAAAGGAUUGGUCACAUCAGGAGCCCUUGGGGCUCAAAUUUGUUGUCAAUCAGACCUUUGGCUUGAUUGAAUCUGUCCUGCAACAGAAGUUUCUCAGCUAUGGAGUGGGAGUAGAAGACCUUGAAAAGUCAGCCCAAUGUUUCCUGAGCCAGUCCCACAAGACUUUGUGUAUAACAGCCUUCCUAUCUGGGAGAAGAAAAUAAGAUUCUUGAAUUCAAGACAUUCCUAUCUGGGAGAAGAAAAUAAAAUUCUUGAAAUCAA